rnacentral:lncRNA from 10 species
AGACGAAAGCACAGUUCUGAGCAUGAGAGCUCACAUUCUGUUUCUACCAGGUGCUGAAGAAAAGCAAGACAGGGUAAGUUAUGGAUCUAUCAAAGCCUGAAGUGGGUGGGGUUGCUUUAUUAGGUUAUACUUGAGUACCUGGUUACUGCUGGAAAUGUAUGCUGUGCGUGGACAAGAGUAACCGAAAAGAGAGUAACAGAGUUGGGUAUCUGGAGUCACACUUGGUUUACAGAAAGCCAAGAAGGGACAAAAUCUAGAAAUGUCCUUUACACUUGCUGACAGUUAUAAGUUGCGGAAAACUAGCGAGGUGUUCAUGUUUGCAAAUCAAUGGACUUCUGAACAGGAACUUUCAGAUGAGUCUCUUCAGAAUAAAAUUAUGAAAACAGAUUAUUAGCAUCGUCUUUCUCUCUUCCCUUCCCUCCCCUCCCCUUCCCUUUCCUUUCCUUUCCUUCUUCUUUAUUCUUGCUUCCCUCUUCCUCCCCUUCCUUCCUUUCUCCACCUUAGAAAAUUAAAUGCUCUUUUUGAUUAUCUUAGUGGUUAAGACUGAAGAGUUGAUCCUGCGCUGUGCUGUGGAGUGGGCAGCUUCUCUCCAUCUUCUCUCACCCUGACACACUGUCUUAGGAUUCCAGUCUCAGAAGCCAGGUAUUGGGUAUGGUCUAUAUUCUGAAAAAUAAUUUUUAUCAUUGAUGUGAGACUUUUAAAUUUUUCUAUUUUUAGUCAUUUUUAUAAAACAGAAAGAAAAAAAAUCCACCUCAAAUCAUUUCAGAAUCAAAAAUAAAUAAAAAUAAAUGCUUUAAAAUCAUGCAUAUUUUAGUGUUUCUAUUUUAUAUAUUUUGAUAACAAAAUUGUACUGGGAACACAACAUUUUCUUGGUGCAAGGAGAUAUUCAUAGGCACUUAAUCAUUUAUUUAAAUAAUCCACAAACAUGGAGGUUAAGCAUAAAAUAGUGACGUUGUUUAUCUAUUUGAAAUGUUAACCAUUUAUUUUCCAAAAAGGCAAUAUAUACCAAAGGAAAACUAAAUUGGCAUAUUUUAACUCUACAAAAAUGUAUGAAUAUUUAAAUUUACAGCAAAAGAACAAUUAUAUCAUCUAAUAAUGCUUACAGUAUUUAAAAUCUGUCAUUAUGCACAAUCUACUUUUAUAAAUGUUAAAGAACCAUGUGCCAAGCAUAUAUCUAAAACAUUUUUGAAAUUACUCCUUUCUAGCUGUGGCUACACUGACCAAAACAACAACAACAACAACAACAAAACAAAACAAAACAAAAAAAGCUGAAAUACAAAAAAAAAAAAACAAAAAAAGACAUGUAAUCAUCAAGUUCUUUUUUCCCCCUUGUGCUAUUUUUAGCAGAAAUUUCAGCACAACUGGAACCAAGCAGCAGCUUACUUUCGUUUUCACACCAAUGGAAUGCAUGAUGAAAAUCUCAUUUUUAAAAAACAUUAUAGAUAUAGCCUUAAUCAUCUAAUUUUCCAUUCUCAUUCUAACUCAUUAAAAACAGAAUAUUGAGUGAUUUGUUCUCCCUAGCUAAAAACAAAAACAAAAUAACUUUAUAUAACAUAACACAAGUAUCGCAGAAGUGGUCUUUAUCUUAAAGGAUCCUUAAGAAAAGAGCUGCCUGAAUUCACCAGUAUUUCAGAGGGAUUUUUCUUUUAAAACAAAUACAGUGAAAAUUGUCUUUAGAAUUUAUUGACCAAUAUAAAACAAACUGGGCUACACAUAUACACAAAUUAUUUAAAACACAUUGCUGGUGCUCAUUCAACACCAUAAAUUCAUACAAUAGCUGAUAUUUAGUAGCAGUUCGAACAUGGUGUAGUCACAACAGAUGUGUCCAUGUACUAUACAUAAGGGGCUGAUUUCACCUAUUCCAUAUUUUGACAUAUUGGGGAAAAUGGGCAGUGGCGGAAUCCUGAAACACAAGCUGCCUUUAGAGCUAAUUGAGUUUUUGCUGCCCAACUGAACUGGAAAUUUAUUCAAGAUUUGCAGCAGAUAUCAGCCAUGCAGGAUGACAGCUGUAGAUGGUGACACAUCCAUUAAAAAUUUGAAUUUCUAAAAUUCUUCAUAUUUGUGAAAUCAGUACACUUUAUAACUUAAGAAUGCAUACAUGUUUUGCCUCCUCUGAGACUAGAUUUAGCAUCUGUAAAUGAGAUGCAAGUAAAAUGGUUGUGAGCAGAUACGAUCAUCAUUUCUUAAGUGGUGAAACCAUGUGCGGUGGGAGACAGUAUUUUGAGGUUUACCGAACUAAUUCAGAAUAUGAUCCUAACCUCCCACCAAAUUUUUUAAAAAGGUAAAAACAGUUCUGUUUUAGUGUAGUUAUUUUUCUCUCUCUGUACACUUUUUUCCUUUUUAUUAGACUGUUUCUAAGCACCAUGGCAAAAUCAAAUUUAUGGAUUGUGUUUACCAGAGUUUACAGAGCUCCACUGGGAAGCCUAGAAAUCUCUGCUGAUUUCCCUGCAGUCUUUGAAGCUCCAUAACAUAGAACCUAAUCUUCACAGUAAUAGGUGGUCUAAUUCUCUGUGCAAGCUGUAGGCCAAACCUUACUUUUAACCUGAAGAUAAUUAGAAGGAAAAUGAAAGUGAGUAUGUUCCAUUAGUUACUACUGAAAAGGCUUUGCUUCCCUGAAACCCAGUUUGCCAAAUGAUGCUUGGAUGUUCCUGUAAUCAUGCUGUUUCUAGUUUAUUUCUGCUGUAGGUCUUAGUGCUUGUAUUAUUUUAAAGAACUAAUUUUAUUUAAAUGACUAGUAAGAAUUUAAAUAUUUCUAAAGAAUCAAUAUACUAAUCAUAAUUUUUUUUUUUGAGACAGUCUUGAGGCUGAAGUGCAGUGGUGUGAUCCUGGCUCACUGCAGCCUCUGCCUCCCAGGUUCAAGCAAUUCUCUCACAUCAGCCUCCCAAGUAGUUGGAAUUACAGGUGCGUGCCACCACAUCCAGCUAAUUUUUGUAUUUUUAGUAGAGACAGGGUUUCGUCAUGUUGGCCAGGCUGGUCUCGCAGUUCUGAACUCAAGUGAUUCGCCCACCUCAGCCUCCCAAAGUGCUGGGAUUACAGGCGUGAGCCACCAUGCCUGGCCCCAUAACAUGUUUAAUGAAGAUAUUUUUCCAUUAUUGUUCCAUUUCUAUAAUUUUUUGAGUGACAGUAUUAGUUUAUAUUAACAAUAAGGGGUCCAGGCAACACCACUUUAGAUAUAUGAUCCUUAGAAAAGUUAUAUUACAUAUCUGGGUUUCAGUCUUAUUAUCUAUAAACAGAGAAACUAAGACAAGGUCAUCUGUAAAGUCCUUUAAAAAUCUCUGUGUUUAUUCCAUUGACUGCACUUAGAAGAUAAAUUUAGUAAUAGUUCUUAAGAAAUCAUGAAAAUACAUAAUUUUUAAGACAGUGAUAUCUCUCCUCUGAAAGUCAAAAUCUUAUACCUUCAAGUGGCCAUUGGACACAACCAAAAAAUAAAAACCAUUUUUAGCUUAAUGAAGCAACUUAUGUAAUAUAGCAGCAUUUUAAUAAAAUUUCAUAUUUCAUUUCCAUAAGGCAGGAUAUUUUAUCCAGAAAAUUAGAGUCCAUAGUUUAAUGUGAAGAAUAUUAGGAAGAAAAUUAAAAUUUGAAGACAAAGUUUUUGGAAAUCCUGUCUAAAUAUAUUAGCCUUUAUUUUAAAAUUUAAAAUACAAAAAAAGUAUGAUACAGUUACA